CGGGCGGACGGGUGAGUAACGCGUGGGUAACCUACCCUGUACACACAGAUAACAUACCGAAAGGUAUGCUAAUACGGGAUAAUAUAUUUGAGAGGCAUCUCUUGAAUAUCAAAGGUGAGCCAGUACAGGAUGGACCCGCGUCUGAUUAGCUAGUUGGUAAGGUAACGGCUUACCAAGGCGACGAUCAGUAGCCGACCUGAGAGGGUGACCGGCCACAUUGGGACUGAGACACGGCCCAA
rnacentral:rRNA from 1 species